CCCUUAGAUGUCCUGGGCCGCACGCGCGUUACACUGAUGCAUUCAACGAGCUUAUAACCUUGGCCGAGAGGCCCGGGCAAUCUUGUUAACGUGCAUCGUGAUAGGGAUAGAUUAUUGAAAUUAUUAAUCUUGAACGAGGAAUUCCUAGUAAACGCAGAUCAUCAAUCUGCAUUGAUUACGCCCCUGCCCUUUGUACACACCGCCCGUCGCACCUACCGAUUGGAUGGUCCGGUGAAGCCUCGGGAUUGUGGUUCUUGCCGCUUUAUUGUGGCGUGACCGCGAGAACUUGUCUAAACCUUAUCAUCUAGAGGAAGGUGAAGUCGUAACA
rnacentral:rRNA from 1 species